GAGACAAAGGACCCACACCCAAACUUCCCUCCACUUCAGAUUUGAAAGUAUCUUGUCUCUUGAUUGGUCCUCUGCGUCAGGUGUUUGCAGGUCAAUGUUGCUAACCCUUUCGGUGAAAGAGACAUUAACCCUAGCUAUCUGUUUAUGACAGGGAGUUUCCCUCCCAAAUCACUGACAGUG